AUCCAGCUGGCGAGUCUCAAAUAGGACGAAACACACGUCCUGGAU
rnacentral:hammerhead_ribozyme from 1 species